UACGGGAGGCAGCAGUGGGGAAUAUUGCACAAUGGGCGCAAGCCUGAUGCAGCCAUGCCGCGUGUAUGAAGAAGGCCUUCGGGUUGUAAAGUACUUUCAGUCGUGAGGAAGGUGUUAAGGUUAAUAACCUUAGCAAUUGACGUUAGCGACAGAAGAAGCACCGGCUAACUCCGUGCCAGCAGCCGCGGUAAUACGGAGGGUGCGAGCGUUAAUCGGAAUUACUGGGCGUAAAGGGCACGCAGGCGGUUAAUUAAGUUGGAUGUGAAAUCCCCGGGCUUAACCUGGGAAUGGCAUUCAAGACUGGUUAGCUAGAGUCUUGUAGAGGGGGUAGAAUUCCAUGUGUAGCGGUGAAAUGCGUAGAGAUGUGGAGGAAUCCGGUGGCGAAGGCGGCCCCUGGACAAAGGCUGACGCUCAUGUGCGAAAGCGCGGGGAGCAAACG
rnacentral:rRNA from 1 species